rnacentral:lncRNA from 1 species
AACAAAUAAGAGCUUUGGGUUUAUCUCUUUUUUAUUCCAAAGCUAGUGGGUGGUGAUGGUGGCCUUAGCCAUCGUAUGCAGUUGAUUAGGGUUAGGCCAUCUGCCUCUUUUCUAUUACCUUCAAGCUUCACAUUUAUUUUCUUUUUGAAAUUUUGAUGAGACAUCAGUCUAUUUCACACGUUUUUUUAUUUUUUAUUUUUACGAAAAAAGAUAAGAGAGAAAGAGGGAGAAUUAACCCAUAUGUUUGUUGUUGAUAAUAUCUCUAUUAAGUUUCUAAAGUCAAUGGUUCAUACCCUAACGAUACAUGUGACUCCUGCCAAAAUGAUUAAUAGGGGAAACUAGAAUCAAAUCAAGAGACACCAGCUCCUUACUCCUGAGGGCUUUACCUGACCGAAUAAGCCAUUGUUUCUUGGUUUAUAUCUGAUUCAUUACUUUCAUCAGACCAAGGAAACAGUUGAUUAUCAAUUCAUGAUUCAACCGGUUUGGUUGCCUAUUCAAUAUCCAAUUUUUUCAACACUAUUCAAUACUUAGCUACGCUUCCAAGUCCCACCCACCAUGAUGUCCUACCGUUCCAAUUGAACCAUAAAAUCCAAACCAAGAAUAGGAGAACUAGAAAAUUAGUUUGUUCUAAACGUCUAUAAGGAAUUUUCUCAGUGAUCUGAAAUACAGUUGGCCAGCUAAUUUCCUGUAGACUUGUAAAACCUUUGGGUCAAGCCAUUAGCCAUCUAAUGGGAAGAUGAGUAAAAGAGAAGAGUAUAGGAAGAUGGGUAGAAAUUGCUUUCCAAUUACGAAUUUUCUUUGAUUCAAAAUAGUGAAAGGGAAACACAAGUUAUGGGUCCAUUUCAAUACCUUAUCUUUGGUAGUUGUUUUUCUUUUUUCCAAGUUAGAUGUGAUACCUAUUUCCUUGAAAGCAAAGCAUAGCAUAUGUAGAAAAUGUGAUGGAUGGACCCUUUGCUAGUCUUCCCACUUGAAAAUGUCUUUUUUUUUUUUAAAUGUAAAUGUCAAUGUUUAAGUUAUCAUGUUGGAAAAUAAUUAAAAAUCCAUAAAGAUUUGUUCCCCUAAAAAUUGGUAAUUUGGAAUAUUUUAGAAGCAAUAAUGUUGAUUUCAACCCAAUGAGUUGUUGAACUUGUAGAGAACGUUAAACAUGGUGAAAAAGCUUUUGCAUAUUGACAAAGUCUACUUUUUCACAUGAACAACAUUUAAAAUUAUAUGAGACAUCAUUAUUAAUACCGUAUGAUUUUAUUGAAUAUAAGGAGAAUGUUUCCUCGCAUUUCAAAAGUAUGAAUUUGAAUUUAAUUAUUAUUUUUUACAUAAAGAAAUAAUUUCGGAAAACAUAAACGUUAGAGAGAAGGGCUAUUAUUAAAGAUUGAACCAAUCUCAUGGAGUAUGCCGUAUGAAAACAUGUGACCAGUUCAUAAGAUUGAACCAAAAUUUUUUUGGCCAAAGAAUAAAUCAAAGCUUUAAGAUGCUGUUAAGAUUGUGAAAUCCAAUCAUAUCUAAACCUUAAUUAUGUUAACCAAUCAUGAGACACGCUUCUAAAGAUAAAAUGUUAUUAAUUUUUUAUAAUAAAGAUUAAAAUUUAAAUAUAUUAAAUGACAUCUUUUAAAAAUAAUUAUUUAAAUCAAGUUAAUUAUAU